rnacentral:rRNA from 1 species
GAUGAACGCUGGCGGCGUGCCUAAUACAUGCAAGUCGAGCGAACAGACGAGGAGCUUGCUCCUCUGACGUUAGCGGCGGACGUGUGAGUAACACGUUGAUAACCUACCUAUAAGACUGGGAUAACUUCGGGAAACCGGAGCUAAUACCGGAUAAUAUAUUGAACCGCAUUGUUCAAUAGUGAAAGACGGUUUUGCUGUCACUUAUAGAUGGAUCCGCGCCUCAUUAUCUAGUUGGUAAGGUAAAGGCUUACCAAGGCAACGGUGAGUAGCCGACCUGAGAGGGGGAUCGGCCACGAUGGGAAGAGGGCACACUCAAGAAUUGUGAGAGAGGCAGCACUAGGGAAUCUUCCGGAAGGGGCGAAAGCUUAACGGGGAAACGGCGGGUGAUGCAGGAAGGUCUGGGGAUCGUAAAUCUCUUUUAUUAGGGAAGAAAAAAUGUUUAGGUAAAUAUGGACAUUGACAGUAAACUAAAAAAAAGAGCCGGCGAAAUAUGUG